rnacentral:lncRNA from 1 species
GCUAGUGAAAAGCCUCCAGAGGACUGCAGCCCUCAGCCAUUUGGAGGUCCCAUUCAUUGUGGAGGAGGGAUUAACCAUCCAAGUUACUGGCUUAUAGACUCUAUAAGCAUAAUUCAUUGCCUGUUACCUUAAGCCACUAAGUUUUGGAGUAGUUUGUUGCACUGCCGUAGAUAACCAGAACAAACUUCUAAUCAAAUUUCUUAUAUAACUCAACCAUUUCUAUAGUACAAUUUUGAUCUAGAGUACAAUUUUGAUAGGCUGAGAAGGAAUCAACUCUUAGUCCCAAUGUUUGGUGAACUAUUCGUAGAACACUUUAUUUCUAGAUAUAUUUCAUUGGAAUCUGAGAAAGGGUUUAAAAGAAUCUAACAACUGCUGCUUUUAUAUCCCUUCUCAUCUUCAUCUCUUUCUAUGUCUGACUUCACAUCCCCAGAUACAAGGUUCCACUGUCUGUCUACUUCAACGGUCAGCCCUUUGCAAAACUGAGGAGGAAUGUGAAGGUAGAAAGGCCACACCUGCCCCAGAAAGGAGUUCCCAUGGGUGGCACCAAGGAUAAUUAUGUGGCUUUCUCACUAGUGUGGGCCCCAUGGGGUACACGAUAGCACCAGUGGAAGUCCCUUCCUGUCUUUCCCACCCCCAACACCCCCCUCCACGCCCCUCCCGCAUCAUGGUAAGCUGGUUAGAGGUUACAUAAUGCAUCCACCAUAGCAGUUGCUUCAAUCCCACCCCAGCCUUCUUGCGUUCAUGAAAACAGCUCCCAGCAACUGACAAGCCUCAGGCAUUCCAGAAGGAGUAGAGAGUUUUCUUAAAGCAAGACAUCCUUACAGAUUGAGGAAAUGGCGUCCAUUAUUUAAAAUUUUUGAGGCAUUUGGCAGAAUAAAGUGUUUCCUCUUAAGGAUGUAAGUUUUGUCAUAUUAGAUCACCUGCAGAGUAAGCAUAGCUUAGCAUUCUGUCUUUGACAUGGUACCGAUCCAAACAUUAAACUCCAGAGAGGUACCACAGGACGGUGUAAUGCACCCUCUAAAAACCACUGUGCCUCUACGACGCAUAAAUACAUUACACCUUCUUUGAACCUUUAUUCUUUUCAACCCAGACCAUGUCUUGGGAGUGAUUCGUUCCAAACAUUUAUGACUCACUGUGUAAACUAAUGUGGUUUUUUUUUUUCUAUUUUUUUCUAAAUUUCUCUUCUUUCAGGCUUCAAAGAGUCCUCCCUGCUCCUUCUCAUACUUUGGAAUUUGGUGAACACAAACAUAUUGAUGCCCUUUGUGGCUUUGUCGUCUUUGAUCAUCUCCCCAUGCAGCCUUCAUCUCUGUAGGCUGAAAGUCUUAAUCUUCUUAGUUUGACCUCAUGUUUUAGCCCACAUAUUCCCUCUAUUCUUCCAUCUGCCCUUCACUGGCCUUUCUAAGAAUCAUAUUCCUUUGUUAAAGGGUACUAACCACACACACUCUUUCAAGAGCAGGUGUUCCCAGUCUUGCCUUUAACCCUCUCCAGUGGGCUAUUCAAUCAAGCAUGCUUAUAUGUUUGCAGUGGGUGGGGGCAAACAGGAAGGGAGAAAUAUUUCAAAGUCAAUGUCAGAGCACAGUUUGGAAAUAUUUUGUCGCCUAAAUGAUGCAAGGAGAAAUUACUCCCCGGGCUCCUUUAGUAUCUGUUCCAACUUGAAUGGCAUGAUUUCUAAAGCAUGUGGGAGCUUCAGCAGUAGGCAGUGUAGAAAAACAAAGAGCCUAUUUUUAUACACAACGUUCAGAGGUUGGGGUGGGGAGGGGGCGAGAAACAAAAACCAGAAAAACAACCCUAAAUUUUGUGCACAGGGAAAUAAUAAAAAUAGGAUGGCAGCUUCAUUUUGAUAUUUUGGUUCUUAGACGCUGUUGUUUUUAUAGGAAUGGGAAAAAAAUAAACAAAUGGAACAGAAGGUGUUAUACACAGGAGGAAUAUAAACACAGACUCAUGGUAUGUUAGUGCUGGGAAGAGAAUGCCAACAAAGUUCCUUCACAAGAGCAGUUUCCAAAAACCAGUCUGUAGACCAGAGAUGGGCUGCGUCUGUGAGGUCCAUGUAGGGAGCUAUUAUAAAGGCCCCUGGAGACCCUAUUCUUGGAGAUACUGAUUCCGUAAGUCAAGGGUGAGGUCCAGGGAAUCUGAGUUGUUUUCCUUUUCUUUUUAAAUUCUUUGGGAUCAUUUGAUGUACAAGUAGGUUUGGGAAACACUAGUCUAGAUCAGUGUUUUCCAAACCUUUAAUUGUUUGAGUUUGCAUUACUUUUUAUUUCAGCAGCAGAACUCUCCUCUGAAAUGAAAUCAUACACAGAACCUAAACAUACAAAAUCCAUAAGAGUGGCCGCCCUGAUUGAACCGGGGGGUGGCAGGGCCAGGACCUCCAUUUUCAACUGAACCCUCUCCCUCCCUGAAUGACUCAACAGAAUCGCCAGGGAACUAUAAAGGUGACAUGGACACAGGCUGAUGACAAAUGCUCCUGUCUCAUCUUUUAAUUUUACUGAUGAGGGGACUGGAGCCCAAAAUGGUGUCUGCCAAGUUCACCCAGAAUUUAGUGGGUGGGUCAAGGAUAGAAUCCAGAACAAAAUCCCAGACUGUGUGUAGCUGCCAUCAUCAGCAUCAGCACAAGGCCCAUGGUCAGCUCCUUCCAACACUAGACUAGGGGCCCCUCACCUCCUGGUGGCUCCAGGCAUUCUCCCCUCGCAGAAGGUGAGGCUGAUCUAUCACCCCAUGGUUGCCCUUCAACAAGUCCAAGAGGACUGUAUUCCCUUACCUUCCCAUGAAGGCUACCUCAGUGAUGGCUCCAGGAGGUUUCCUGUAGCCUCCUAGAGGGAGCCCCCACUAAAGCAAGAAGAAAGCAAAGCUCACAUAUUUCAUCUCUGGUGCACCAUCCUUCUGUUACCUGCUUCCAUUUGAUCAACCUACCAUCAGUUCUAUUUUCUUUUCUUUCUUUCUUUUUUUUCUUUUUAUUUUUUAUUUUUUUGAUACAGAGUCUUGCUCUGUUGCCCAGGCUGGAGUACAGUGGUGUGAUCUCAGCUCACUGCAACCUCCACCUCCUGGGUUCAAGCGAUUCUCGUGCCUCAGCCUCCUAAGUAGCUGGAAUUACAUGCAUGCAUCACCAUGCCCAGCUAAUUUUUUGUAUUUUUAAUAGAGACAGGGUUUUGUCAUGUUGGCCAG